ACUCACCAGGUCAGGACACGGUAAGGAUUGACGGACUGAAGGCUCUUCUCGAUUCCGUGGAAAGUGGUGCAUUGGCCGUUUUUGGUUGGUGGAUCGAUCCGUCUGGUUAAUUCCGUUAACGAACGAGACCUCGGCACUCCGAAUAGCGCGGCGGACGUCGCGGCCUCCGGGCCGUCUUCCGCACGAGCUUCUUAGAGGGACCGUCCCCCGCCGGGGAAGGAGGUGCGAGGCAACGACAGGUCUGUGAUGCCCUUAGAUGUUCUGGGCCGCACGCGCAUUACACUGACGCGUCCAACGGGUGACUCCCGACCCGAAGGGGCCGGGGAAUCCGCAAGGCGCGUCGUGAUGGGGAUUGAACGUUGCAAUUGUUGUUCACGAACGAGGAAUUCCUAGUAGGCGCGGGUCAUCAACCCGCGCCGAUUACGUCCCUGCCCUUUGUACACACCGC
rnacentral:rRNA from 1 species